CACAGUUUCUAAUACAUUCCACACAGUAUUUCUCUUAUAACUGUUAAGGUUAAUGUUACAUAAACAGUAACAUUAAUGUUGAACAAUAAUAAUUCUAAUGAUGUAGAUUAUAAAAAACAGUUUGAGUAAUCCAUAUCAAACAGUGACACUAUUUCGUAAUGUGCGCACAUGGUUGAAUUAUAUGGGGUUAAAACUCGUGAGAAAUAUUUGAAAAAUAAGGCUACCUUUUGCCGAAUGGUCUCCGCUUCUAUUCGCGCAUACCACGUACACAUAUGUAUUUCACCAUAUUUUACCAAUUAUCUACAAUACGGCAAACAGUUGAACGCUUAUAUUAUACACUCUUACAAAAAACCAAUCAGUCGUUUAAGAUUCGCUAAGUUAUAAUUUUAUUUUCCAGUCAGCUUGACCAAACACGUGUACUUUUAAUGUAACAAAAACGCAAUACUAAUUGUGUUGGAUACUUUUGAUCGAAAUGCGUGAAGGAAAAAACUUUUUUUUUAUUUUACUUAUGUGAAAAGGUGAACGAGUUUUGUUCACUGCGUGUAACGUAUGCAUCUGACGUGGUAUUUUUUUAGCGUGUUUGAUUUCGAUUUGCCGUCAAAAUUGAAAAAAUAAAAUAAAAAUAAACCGCCGGGAGUUGUGAGAAGAAAAUUUGGAUCCUUUGUGUAAACGUAGGAAAGAAUCGUUUGUGUGGAGAUGUCCGCCCUGAUCCAGCACCAGAUUGCAAAACUAUUGACAGAAAAAAACCUUGAUGCACUCUCCAUCAAUGUGGGGGAGUGCGCCUGCUGCAAGGAACUCGUUUUCAAGUUAGCGAAGGAAGGUAUCCGGAAGCAGAAACAUAAGCUGGGAGUGCUAGCUGAAUCGCGACACCCCCUCCAAGCAAACAUAUCGGUAAGCUAGUUUCGUGAUCGGGACUCGGUGCACAAAAUCUUCGUGUUUCCGUUACUUUUUGUGCUGAAAUUGCAGCUGCAGUAACACCAGCGAGAAGCCGGAUGUAUGACAGAUCGGCGAAUUGGGAGCUAUCAGCAAUGUUUCGCCGCCCCGCGUUCAUCAAAUCAGUGUAUAGUAAAACAUGAAAAUUUAUGUGAAAAUAGUAAAACGAAUGUUACCAAUAAUAAAACAAAUUCAAUCAUAA